GGUCAGCUGACACAUCCCGGCCAAUCUACAGCAGACCCUCCCUCCCAGACCCUCCUACUUCCUGGACAGCAUCCAUGUUGAAGGCAGCUUCAACAUGGAUGCUGUCCAGGAGGUGGGAGGGUCUGGGAGGGAGGGUCUGCCGGAGAUUGGCAGGGAUGUGUCAGCUG
rnacentral:miRNA from 1 species